rnacentral:rRNA from 1 species
AGGGAUUGCCCUAGUAACGGCGAGUGAAGCGGCAACAGCUCAAAUUUGAAAUCUGGCCCUCUCGGGGGCCCGAGUUGUAAUUUGCAGAGGGUGCUUUGGCGUCGGCUGUGGUCUAAGUUCCUUGGAACAGGACGUCGCAGAGGGUGAGAAUCCCGUAUGUGGCCGCCAGCCUUCGCCGUGUAAAGCCCCUUCGACGAGUCGAGUUGUUUGGGAAUGCAGCUCUAAAUGGGAGGUAAAUUUCUUCUAAAGCUAAAUAUCUGCCAGAGACCGAUAGCGCACAAGUAGAGUGAUCGAAAGAUGAAAAGCACUUUGGAAAGAGAGUCAAAAAGCACGUGAAAUUGUUGAAAGGGAAGCGCUUGCAGUUAGACAUGCCUUUAGUUGCUCAGCCGGGCUCUUUGGCCCGGUGCACUCUUCUAUCGGCAGGCCAGCAUCAGUCUGGGCGGUCGGAUAAAGGCCUAUUAAACGUGACUCCCCUCGGGGAGAGCUUAUAGGGUAGGCGCCAUGCGACCAGCCUGGACUGAGGUCCGCGCAUCUGCUAGGAUGCUGGCGUAAUAGCUGCAAGCGGCCCGUCUUGAAACACGGACCAAGGAGUCUAACAUCUAUGCGAGUGUUUGGGUGUCAAGCCCGGGCGCGUAAUGAAAGUGAACGGAGGUGGGAUCCCCCCCGGGGUGCACCAUCGACCGAUCCUGAUGUCUUCGGAUGGAUUUGAGUAAGAGCAUAGCUGUUGGGACCCGAAAGAUGGUGAACUAUGCCUGAAUAGGGUGAAGCCAGAGGAAACUCUGGUGGAGGCUCGCAGCGGUUCUGACGUGCAAAUCGAUCGUCAAAUUUGGGCAUAGGGGCGAAAGACUAAUCGAAC